UGGGGAAUAUUGGACAAUGGGCGCAAGCCUGAUCCAGCCAUGCCGCGUGAGUGAUGACGGCCCUAGGGUUGUAAAGCUCUUUCACCGGUGAAGAUAAUGACGGUAACCGGAGAAGAAGCCCCGGCUAACUUCGUGCCAGCAGCCGCGGUAAUACGAAGGGGGCUAGCGUUGUUCGGAUUUACUGGGCGUAAAGCGCACGUAGGCGGACUUUUAAGUCAGGGGUGAAAUCCCGGGGCUCAACCCCGGAACUGCCUUUGAUACUGGAAGUAUUGAGUAUGGUAGAGGUGAGUGGAAUUCCGAGUGUAGAGGUGAAAUUCGUAGAUAUUCGGAGGAACAACAGUGGCGAAGGCGGCUCACUGGACCAUUACUGACGCUGAGGUGCGAAGGCGUGGGGAGCAAACAGG
rnacentral:rRNA from 1 species